rnacentral:lncRNA from 1 species
CCGUCACAGCUGAAGAGAGAGCUCUCAUACAGUCAGCUCACAUAGUUCUGUGGCAAACAUACCACAUGAUAAAUUCUAAUAUUUUAGAUAUUCUCUUUUAUAUUAUUUGAUCCUUUAUUAUCUAAUAUAAUAUUCUUAAUGAUAUCUUGAUACUCUUAGGUUCGGAUAUCAUGGGGUCACCAGUGAUCCCACAAUCACAUGAAGUAGCAUCCAGCUCUCAAAGUCAGCGGC